AUUGAACGCUGGCGGCAUGCCUUACACAUGCAAGUCGAACGGCAGCACGGGAGCAAUCCUGGUGGCGAGUGGCGAACGGGUGAGUAAUAUAUCGGAACGUGCCCAGUCGUGGGGGAUAACGUAGCGAAAGCUACGCUAAUACCGCAUACGAACUAUGGAUGAAAGCGGGGGAUCGCAAGACCUCGCGCGAUCGGAUCCGCCGAUAUCAGAUUCGGUAGUUGGUGGGGUAAAAGCCUACCAAGCCGACGAUCUGUAGCUGGUCUGAGAGGACGACCAGCCACACUGGGACUGAGACACGGCCCAGACUCCUACGGGAGGCAGCAGUGGGGAAUUUUGGACAAUGGGCGCAAGCCUGAUCCAGCAAUGCCGCGUGCAGGAUGAAGGCCUUCGGGUUGUAAACUGCUUUUGUACGGAGCGAAAAGGCUCUCUCUAAUACAGGGGGCUCAUGACGGUACCGUAAGAAUAAGCACCGGCUAACUACGUGCCAGCCGCCGCAGUAA
rnacentral:rRNA from 1 species